rnacentral:rRNA from 1 species
AACGUAGGUGACGAGCGUUAUCCGGAUUUACUGGGCGUAAAGAGCUUGUAGGUGGCUCUGUAAGUUGGGUGUGAAAGCCCCGGGCUUAACUCGGGGAGGUCACUCAAUACUGCGGGGCUAGAGGGUGUCAGAGGGAAGUGGAAUUCCUGGUGUAGCAGUGAAAUGCGUAGAUAUCAGGAGGAACACCCGUGGCGAAGGCGGCUUCCUGGGGCAUUCCUGACACUGAGAAGCGAAAGCUAGGGGAGCGAACGGG